UUGAAAGAGCAAAGACUAUAAAUCAAGACUUCUCUCCCCCGCCCCUGAAGUUGGUCUAGCAGCUCUCCAAAGAGUGGUCUUACAAAGGAGAUCUCAGCUGGAUGUGAUGGCGCACGCCUGUUACCCCAGCACUCUGGGAGGCUGAUCCCUGGGAUCACAAAUUCGAGCCCACCCUGGGCAAUUUAGUGACUUGGCGAGACCUGGUCUCAAAGUAAAAAUUUAAAAGAGGCUGAUAACGGGGAGGGGGGAACUGCUGCAGAGGAUGUAACUUCCUUGGGAAGUGAACCCCUGUUCGGAGCUCGGCGUUGCGGGGCGGUUUCUUACCAGAGCCCAGGGCAGCGGGACCCCAGCUAGGACUGGGCACGGGUUUCUCCUCCCAGCCGGGGCGGGGCCGCGGACGCCCGAGCCAGGUCUUGGAAGGUGAAUGACGCAUACGCGAGGACAGCAGCCCCUUCCCAGCCUCUCCAAGCUCCGGGGACCCCCCGAGACUCGAGAAUUGGGUGCUGUGUCUUUAAAGGGAGUGGGGGCUUCCGGUGGGGUCUACGCGCCCUCAGGGCGCCGGGAGAGGACUGGCUGAGGGGACCGAGGGGGAGACGGAGCGGAGAUCGUGGAGGACACAGGGGCGCAGGGCUCGGGUAGAGGGGUCCAAAGCCUGCCUACCGCGGCUCCACUCCCUACCCCAGCCUCUGAGGCCACGCCCCCCGCCGUCCCCGCCGGGUCCCGCCCUCCCCGCGGUGCUGAACAAAGGGACUCGGUCCUCGGGGCGCCCUGGGCGGUUCUCUGUGAACACUGACUGCCGGCCGAGGACCUGAAGCUUCGCCAAGCCAAGGGUUUUUAGCCCUAGGAAAGGAAGGAAGAAGGACUCGCCCCAGCUGAACUUGUGAUCAGCAGCUACUACAAGGACACCGUGUUUCAGAGCCGCUGCUGUAGAAAUAGCUUAACACUGCGAAAGCGAUGCCCAGUGAAGAGCCUGCACUGACCAUGGAAGAGAACAGCGGGCUGGACGAAGCUGCGGUGCAGGGCGGCCCAUGCCCGGGCCGCCUGGGGGCGCCCCCCACGCCGAGGCCUGGGGGUGCUUUCACCUGGCACCUGCGCGCCCCCGGGCACCGUCUGGCCGCUGGGCCACUUGCCGG
rnacentral:lncRNA from 1 species